rnacentral:rRNA from 1 species
AUUGAACGCUGGCGGCAUGCCUUACACAUGCCAGUCGAACGGCAGCAUGAUCUAGCUUGCUAGAUUGAUGGCGAGUGGCGAACGGGUGAGUAAUACAUCGGAACGUGCCCUGUAGUGGGGGAUAACUAGUCGAAAGAUUAGCUAAUACCGCAUACGACCUGAGGGUGAAAGUGGGGGACCGCAAGGCCUCAUGCUAUAGGAGCGGCCGAUGUCUGAUUAGCUAGUUGGUGAGGUAAAGGCUCACCAAGGCGACGAUCAGUAGCUGGUCUGAGAGGACGAUCGCCCACACUGGGAAUGAGAAACGGCCCAGACUCCUACGGGAGGCAGCAGGGGGGAAUUUGGGAAAAGGGGCGAAAGCGUGAUCCAGCAAGGCCGGGUGUGUGAAGAGGGCCUUCGGGUUGUAAAGCCCUUUUGUCCGGAAAGAAAGGGCUCUGGUUAAAACCUGGGGUCGGUGACGGUACCGGAAGAAUAAGGACCGGCUAACUACGG